rnacentral:rRNA from 1 species
GACGAACGCUGGCGGCGUGCUUAACACAUGCAAGUCGAACGGAAAGGCCCUGCUUUUGUGGGUUUCUCGAUUGGCGAACGGGUGAGUAACACGUGAGUAACCUGCCCUUGACUUUGGGAUAACUUCAGGAAACUGGGGCUAAUACCGGAUAUGAUCUCCUGCUGCAUGGUGUGGGUUGGAAAGUUUCGGCUGUUGGGGAUGGACUCGCGGCUUAUCAGCUUGUUUGUGGGGUAGUGGCUUACCAAGGCUUUGACGGGUAGCCGGCCUGAGAGGGUGACCGGCCACAUUGGGACUGAGAUACGGCCCAGACUCCUACGGGAGGCAGCAGUGGGGAAUAUUGCACAAUGGGCGGAAGCCUGAUGCAGCAACGCCGCGUGCGGGAUGACGGCCUUCGGGUUGUAAACCGAUUUCGCCUGUGACGAAGCGUGAGUGACGGUAAUGGGUAAAGAAGCACCGGCUAACUACGUG